rnacentral:rRNA from 1 species
UCAGGAUGAACGCUGGCGGCGUGCUUAACACAUGCAAGUCGAACGGUGAACACGGAGCUUGCUCUGUGGGAUCAGUGGCGAACGGGUGAGUAACACGUGAGCAACCUGCCCCUGACUCUGGGAUAAGCGCUGGAAACGGCGUCUAAUACUGGAUAUGUGACGUGACCGCAUGGUCUGCGUCUGGAAAGAAUUUCGGUUGGGGAUGGGCUCGCGGCCUAUCAGCUUGUUGGUGAGGUAAUGGCUCACCAAGGCGUCGACGGGUAGCCGGCCUGAGAGGGUGACCGGCCACACUGGGACUGAGACACGGCCCAGACUCCUACGGGAGGCAGCAGUGGGGAAUAUUGCACAAUGGGCGCAAGCCUGAUGCAGCAACGCCGCGUGAGGGACGACGGCCUUCGGGUUGUAAACCUCUUUUAGCAGGGAAGAAGCGAAAAUGACGGUACCUGCAGAAAAAGCGCCGGCUAACUACGUGCCAGCAGCCGCGGUAAUACGUAGGGCGCAAGCGUUAUCCGGAAUUAUUGGGCGUAAAGAGCUCGUAGGCGGUUUGUCGCGUCUGCUGUGAAAUCCGGAGGCUCAACCUCCGGCCUGCAGUGGGUACGGGCAGACUAGAGUGCGGUAGGGGAGAUUGGAAUUCCUGGUGUAGCGGUGGAAUGCGCAGAUAUCAGGAGGAACACCGAUGGCGAAGGCAGAUCUCUGGGCCGUAACUGACGCUGAGGAGCGAAAGGGUGGGGAGCAAACAGGCUUAGAUACCCUGGUAGUCCACCCCGUAAACCGUUGGGAACUAGUUGUGGGGUCCAUUCCACGGAUUCCGUGACGCAGCUAACGCAUUAAGUUCCCCGCCUG